UACGUAGGGGCCUAGCGUUGUCCGGAAUUAUUGGGCGUAAAGAGCUCGUAGGCGGUUCGGCAAGUCGGAUGUGAAAUCUCCACGCUCAACGUGGAGGGGCCAUUCGAAACUGCCGUGACUCGAGUCCGGUAGGGGAGUGUGGAAUUCCUGGUGUAGCGGUGAAAUGCGCAGAUAUCAGGAAGAACACCGAUGGCGAAGGCAGCUCUCUGGGACGGUACUGACGCUGAGACGCGAAAGCGUGGGGAGCGAACAGG
rnacentral:rRNA from 1 species